GAAACGACUGCUAAGACUGGAUAGGAAGAUAAAAGGCAUCUUUUAUCUUUUAAAAGACCUAGUAAUAGGUAUGCUUUAGGAGGGGCUUGCGCCAUAUUAGUUAGUUGGUAGGGUAAUGGCCUACCAAGACGAUGAUGUGUAGCUGGACUGAGAGGUUGAACAGCCACAUUGGGACUGAGACACGGCCCAAACUCCUACGGGAGGCAGCAGUAGGGAAUUUUCGGCAAUGGAGGAAACUCUGACCGAGCAACGCCGCGUGAAUGACGAAGUACUUCGGUAUGUAAAGUUCUUUUAUCAAGGAAGAAAAGCAAAUGGCGAACCAUUUGUUUGCCGGUACUUGAUGAAUAAGCCCCGGCUAAUUAUGUGCCAGCAGCCGCGGUAAGACAUAAGGGGCAAGUGUUAUCCGGAAUUAUUGGGCGUAAAGGGUGCGUAGGCGGUCUAGUAAGUCAGUGGUGUAAUGGCAACGCUUAACGUUGUCCGGCUAUUGAAACUGCUAAACUUGAGUUAGAUAGAGGCGAGUGGAAUUCCAUGUGUAGCGGUAAAAUGCGUAAAUAUAUGGAGGAGCACCAGAGGCGUAGGCGGCUCGCUGGGUCUUAACUGACGCUGAGGCACGAAAGCGUGGGGAGCAAACAGGAUUAGAUACCCUGGUAGUCCACGCCGUAAACGAUGAGUACUAAGUGUCGGGUUAAACCGGUACUGAAGUUAACACAUUAAGUACUCCGCCUGAGUAGUACGAACGCAAGUAUGAAACUUAAAGGAAUUGACGGGACUCCGCACAAGCGGUGGAUCAUGUUGUUUAAUCCGAAGAUACCCGAAAAACCUUACCAGGUCUUGACAUGUUUUUGCAAAAUGAUAGUAAUAUCGUGGAGGUUACCAGAAACACAGGUGGUGCAUGGUUGUCGUCAGCUCGUGUCGUGAGAUGUUAGGUUAAGUCCUAAAACGAGCGAAACCCUUAUCGUUAGUUGCCAGCACGUUAUGGUGGGGACUUUAACGAGACUGCCAAUGAUAAAUUGGAGGAAGGUGAGGAUCACGUCAAAUCAGCAUGCCCCUUAUGACCUGGGCUACAAACGUGAUACAAUGGCUGUUACAAAGGGUAGCUGAAACGCAAGUUCUUGGCCAAUCCCCAAAAACAGUCCCAGUCCGGAUUGAAGUCUGCAACUCGACUUCAUGAAGUUGGAAUCGCUAGUAAUCGCGAAUCAGCAUGUCGCGGUGAAUACGUUCCCCGGGUUUGUACACACCGCCCGUCA
rnacentral:rRNA from 1 species